rnacentral:tRNA from 1 species
GGGCGGGUAGCUUAGCCUGGUGGAGCGCCCGGCUGAUAACCGGGAGGUCGGGAGUUCAAAUCUCCCCCCGCCCA